ACAUUGGUGCAGCAGUUGGUAGCUCUGUUGCCCUUGGAGCAACAAAGUCCUGGGUUCGAAUCUCAGCCUGGGGU